GUGAGCCCUUAAAAGGGACAGAAAUUUUGCACUCGGGGAGCUCAGAUUUUAAGACAGUAGCUUGCUGAUGCUCCCAGCUGAAUAAAGCCCUUCCUUCUACAACUCGGUGUCUGAGGGGUUUUGUCUGCAGCUCGUCCUGCUACAAUGGUGGUUCCUUUAUAGAGUCCAUCUGCUCACUACAUGUGAUUCAAGCCUAGCUCGAAAGAUAGGCAAGUGAUGACUUAGGACACUGUCAAUGGCAUGAGACUUCUUUCCAAGCUAUCAGAAGACCGCCUUCUUUUCCCACUGCUACUGCCAGGAUAUUCAUGAUUCCCUACCUUGAAUCAAUGCCGCCAUCUUCCUUUUAACUCAGGGACUAUGAGAUACACAGGUCUUCAAUGCCAGUCACCUCAUGGACUCACCACCUAGUUUAUCAAGGAGAAGUUGAUGCUGGGAGCAACUACAAAAAUGAAGCUACUCUGAUUUAGGUGGCACAGAAAAGCAGGCGAGGGUUUCUCCCUCCUGUCUCAUUUGAUCAUUUUUCAUGCUUUACCUGUGCUUCUAGGGGCCAAUCUAUCUUUUUUUUUUUUUUUCUGCCUUCUCUGCUUUAAAUGUUCCCAGUUCUGUCUGGAACUUGUCUUUGAACAAAGAAAGAUUUACUUCUUUCUUGAUUCUUUUAUUCCCCUCAUUUUUGUUUAUUCUCUUCCUGGCUCUUAGAGCUUUUCUCUUAACAUUGUGACUGGUGUAUCUAUUUUCUUCAUCUCUCACCUCCUGCCCAUGAACUUAUUUAUGAGGAAAUGUGUAGGAUAAUAGAGCAACAAUUUGGCUUAAAGGGCUCUAGCUGUGUGACCCUAGGCACAUCAGUCAACUCCUUAUAAACAACAGGUUUCUUUUCUCUAAAAUGAGGAUGUUAGAUUCUAUUAUCUCAGUAGUUCAUCUCAGCACUAAUUUUCUAUGAUUCCUUUUCUCACAGUGCUGUCUACCUUGCAAGCCCAGUACAUGUAUAUUAGUUCCCUAUUGCUGCUGUAACAAAUUGCCACCAGCUUAAUGGUUUAAAGCAAGGCAAAUUUGUUAUUUUAUAUUUCUGUAGAUCAGACAUCUGGCACGGUGCCCUUGUGCUAAAAUUAGAGUGCUGACAAGCCUAUGGUUCUUUCUGGAGCCUUCAGGGAAGAAUUGGUUACCUUGCGUUUUCCAGCUUUUGAGAGCACCUGCAUCCCUUGGGUCAUGCCCUUUUCCUCCAUUUUCAAAGUCCAAAACAGGAUGUCAAGUCCUUCUUUCUUUGCAUCUCUUUGAACAACUGUAGCCAAAAAGAUUCUCCAUUCUAAGGACUCCUGUGAUUUGAUUGGGAGCCUCUACAUCAUUCAGGAGAAUCCUCUGACCUCAAGUUCUGUAACCUGAAUCACAUCAUAAGACUUCAGCUGGCAGAGCAACACAAGCAGCUGAAUAUCAAGAGGUGAAGAAGCAACUGGGCAUCUGAGACUAUGGAUAGAUGCGACUUAACUUCAGACGGCACAACUUUGGAGAGGAGCCCAGAUGGAGACGACCAGGCUUCAAGGAAAGAUCACCUUCUUCUUGCACCCCCCUUUCAGCUCCCCUUCUGCUGAGAGCUACUUCCACUGCCUAAUAAAAUCCUCUGCAUCAUCACCUUUCAAACCAUUCGUGCGACCUGAUUCUUCCUGGAUGCCGAACAAGAACCUGGGAACCAAGAGGGCAGAGUAUUAGGCUGUCACCCUGACUCUCCACUAAGCUGGUUAACACUUAGCUGCCAUGGACAGCAACUCCUAAAAGAGCAUUAAUUUUAUCACACCCCUAGACGCUGCCAGGGGGCUGGAGCCCAAAAGCAUUUGCCCCAGCUCCAACACCCACUUGCCUGUGUGCUCCCUCCCGUGAGGGGUUGAGCCCAGUGGGUUUGAGUGAGUGAAGUUCAUCCCUGUUGGCAGCAAAGUGGCAGGCUGAACCCAGAGCCAGUGCACUCUAGUUCCCAUCUGCAAAAGGGUCAAAGGAACUCUCCUGUCUCAACAACAUAUUACUGACUAACACAAGCAUCUUAUGCCUGGUAGCAUCAAAUUAAGCAAAGGGUAGCCCGAAUGCCAUGUCUUCACAUUUUAUUCCACUUGGAUCUCCUGUAGAAUGGCUGUUUACCAUGGAAGGGCUGAUUCCAAUUCUCACGUUAAUCACUUACAAGGCAGAAACCAGCUAGUCUAGACUGGUAAAGGGCUUUCCAGUUCAUUCAUCAGCCUCCUCUGAUUCUCUCAGGGCUCAUUCAGAUGUUCCCAAUCCUUUCACAAGAUUACAAUUCAACACAUAUGGAAGCACAAAAAAAAAUGCUGAUUUCCCCACAUAAAUAAUAAUUAAUUACUAAUGAAGAUAAUGGUGACAGACUAUGGGACUUAAGAAAAAACCUACGAGGAUGUAUCACAAGACAAAUCCUUCUAAAAAUUAAACUAUUUGCAGACAAUCAGAAAGUCAAAACUAACAAUCUCUUAAACAUUUCUCAGAUAUGGCUGUAAUAACAUAGCAUUCCUAUAAAAAUGAACUUUUAGGUUAAAUAUAUCUUUACACAUACAUGCACUUGCACCCACAUGUACACACAAUCUAUUUUUGGAUCUACUGAAUAAAGCAUCAUUAUUUAAAGUGAAGCAAUAAAAGUUUCAACGUCUUUUUUUCUAAGUAUUAGCCUUGAAGUUAUUCACCCUAACCAAA
rnacentral:lncRNA from 10 species